rnacentral:lncRNA from 1 species
AAACGGAUGUGAAAUCAUUUCAGAAAUUUCCAGCUUUCCAAAAGAAAUGUUAAGUGAAGAUAACCUCAUAUGAACCACAUUAGAACCAGCACAUCAAAUCCUACCGAGGAAAAGUGACCACAGUUGUCUUCACGUAUAGACAACCUGGAGUUCAUGGCAAAUGUGCUUUAAAGAGAAGGC